rnacentral:rRNA from 1 species
GACGAACGCUGGCGGCAGGCUUAACACAUGCAAGUCGAACGAGAAGCCACCCUUUCGGGGUGGUGGAAAGUGGCGAACGGGUGAGUAACGCGUGGGAACCUACCCUUCGGUACGGGACAACCACGGGAAACUGUGGCUAAUACCGUAUAUUCCCCAAGGGGGAAAGAUUUAUCGCCGAGGGAUGGGCCCGCGUCCGAUUAGUUUGUUGGUGAGGUAACGGCUCACCAAGGCUACGAUCGGUCGCUGGUCUGAGAGGAUGAUCAGCCACACUGGGACUGAGAUACGGCCCAGACUCCUACGGGAGGCAGCAGUGGGGAAUAUUGGACAAUGGGGGCAACCCUGAUCCAGCCAUGCCGCGUGAGUGAAGAAGGCCCUAGGGUUGUAAAGCUCUUUCAGCGAGGAAGAUAAUGACGGUACUCGCAAAAGAAGCCCCGGCUAACUCCGUGCCAGCAGCCGCGGUAAUACGGAGGGGGCUAGCGUUGUUCGGAAUUACUGGGCGUAAAGCGCGCGUAGGCGGUUUGCUAAGUUGGGCGUGAAAGCCCGGGGCUUAACCCCGGAACUGCGUUCAAAACUGGCAGACUUGAGGCCGGGAGAGGAGAGCGGAAUUCCCAGUGUAGAGGUGAAAUUCGUAGAUAUUGGGAAGAACACCAGUGGCGAAGGCGGCUCUCUGGCCCGGUUCUGACGCUGAGGCGCGAAAGCGUGGGGAGCGAACAGGAUUAGAUACCCUGGUAGUCCACGCCGUAAACGAUGAGUGCUAGACGUCGGGGGGCUUGCCCUUCGGUGUCGCAGCUAACGCAUUAAGCACUCCGCCUGGGGAGUACGGCCGCAAGGCUAAAACUCAAAGGAAUUGACGGGGGCCCGCACAAGCGGUGG